GGCAACCGCGCGAUUCGAGUGACAAGUGCGGAUUUUCGCUGUUUAUCAAUUCGCAUUGAAAACAAAAGUAAAGAAAUUUGCAAGAAUCUUUAAGCUCAUUUACGUUCAGUGAUAUCUUUUACAACGGGAUUAACUCCAUCUCUUGUUUACAUCCGAGUUAAUUGCAACGUACCUCCAAAUUUCCUGACGAAACCACUUGAAUUUUCGCUCGUCGAUCUACAUUCUCAUGCUCGGCGUAAACUUAUGUGCGAACUCGACUGCAUUUAAUGGCUGCUAGUGUCAUUGUUAUCAAUUUUUCUCGUCUUAUUGAUAAUGCGACAUGGACACUUCUGUCAGUUGUGUGUUAUGCGGAGCUGUAGACAGAUUAUGGCGAUGUGCUAAGUGCAAAAGUGUGUUCUAUUGUAGCAAAAAACAUCAAACCCAGGAUUGGAAAAAUCACAAAGCUAACUGUGUGAGCCAUGCUGAGCAUGUAAAUUCUAGCAAGAAAGCCGAAAUAUCCGAAAAUAACGCUGGAAACGUCCACAGUAACUCUGUCACAAGUGUUUCUACAACAACUGUUCUAUCUUCUAUCGAAGUUAAUGAUAGUCAGAAAUCUAGUCGUGCAAGUAAAUCACUAACCUCAAAAGUAAUAAGUACUAGUCCCGAAAGUAGCUCUGAUAAAAGUAUUCUAAAACCACGGGCUGAACCUGGUAACAUUAAAUUAAAAGAUAACGACGCAAGCGAACAUAAGCCCAAUAAUCUUAAGUGUGCAAAAUCUAAUUUUGCUGAUGUUCCUUUAGAUGCUGAAUUGUAUCAAAAGAGCAAUCUAGUGCUGAAAAAUUUUUCGGAAGUCAAAUUAGAUAGCUCCACAGCAAUGCCACCUUAUUUACAUCGCGAAGAUGAUGUAGCGCAGCAGACGUUAAUGGAAGAAAUCUGCCGGAAUGUGAUCGCAGACAUGGAUGCAUAUGGAGUGUGUGUAGUUGACAAUUUUUUAGGAGCAACACGAGGCAUGGCUGUAUUAGAGGAAGUCAUCGGAAUGUAUCAAACGGGUAUUUUCAAAGAUGGUCAGUUAGUCAGCAAUAAAGCAAGGAAUGAUCUGAGAACUAUUCGAGGGGACCAGAUCACGUGGAUAGAUGGUACAGAAGAAUCUUGUCACAACAUAGGAAUGUUGAUAAGUCGAGUGGAUUCAAUUAUUAUUCGUGCAAACCAACUUCCGAACAACGGUAAAAUGGGCAACUACACCAUCAAUGGUAGAACUAAGGCAAUGGUAGCUUGUUACCCUGGACAUGGAUCGCACUAUGUGAAACACGUUGACAAUCCUAACAGAGAUGGUCGCUGUAUCACAGCAAUUUAUUAUCUUAACAGGGACUGGGAUAUUCAGCACAAUGGAGGGUUAUUGAGAAUUUUUCCAGAAGGAUGGAGUCACCAAGUUGCUGAUAUUGAACCUCUGUUCGACAGGAUUUUAUUUUUCUGGUCUGACCGUCGCAAUCCCCAUGAAGUACAACCAGCAUUUAAAACUAGAUAUGCAAUAACGUUGUGGUACUUUGAUGCAACGGAACGAGCAGAAGCAAGUAGGCGAUAUCAACAAACGCUAACAUCCACCUAACACUAUCAUCAACACACAAAGAAAACAAACUGGAUUGAAGCUACAAACCAUUGAAUGCCUCUAACUAGAAUGGACCUCUAGACAAGGAGAUAUGAGUGGUGUCGCGCAGAACUAGCAGUACUGGAAGGAGCUCAGAGUCUCUCGACAAGUCAAACGAAUUAGAUCUGAGUCAUGAAGGUGGCGCCUCCUAAAACUUAGCUCUAAGAAUUUUCGUAUAUUUUAAAACGAGUGUAAAUAAUGUGUAAAUAAGCAAUGUUAACUCUAAGAUUUCUUUAUUUUUUUCAAGCCUGUACAAUGUGUACUUAGUUUCUCGACAGAGUAUCUUGCCCAGGGUUUUAAAGGUCAAUAUUUCAGUCAGAUUUUAACUUAAAAUUAGUAUAAUUCCCUAUUGUUCAUCCGAAUCUCUACAAAAAUUGCCUUUUUUCAUCAAGUUAAAGGAGUUCAAUGAAAUAUAUGUAAAUCAAAUGAAGAUUAACGGCCAGGCAAAUUUCUCAGGAAAUUUUCAGCUUGAGGCAGCCUUUUGAUUAGGUUACCCAAUAUUUCAAAUCUUUCUUAAUUUUGCAAUUUUCAAAUUCUGAAACCAUUUCUUGGAAAGUUAACUGAGAGGCAGUUUUCAUAGAGAGAAGAAAAUUAUGUUUCGUAAUUGCAGCACUGUGAUGAAGUUACUCAGGCUUAGAAGUUAACAUGGACAUUAAUUAAGAAUUGCUGCCAAUACUUUUUCUUGGGUUCCAUGUCAACUCAACCAGGUUCGGAACGGACCCCCUCCAAUUUUGCUUAAUAUGGGAGCACAUCACCGCAAGAAUUUCUUUUAAAGAAUUUUCCCCUCCAACACUCUGUUCGUGAGAUAUCAGCCCUUAAAGAUCAGGUGAAUCCUAGCAAAAUUCAUAAAAGUCCAUUUUUGCGAUUUUCAUUUUCUCGACUUCCCGCUCUUUGUCUUUGCAUGAUGGCACUUGACGUCAUGGAACGACAAAGAGAUGGAAAUCAAGAGAAUGAAAGUAGGGAUAACAGGUUUUUCAAUUAUUGCUAAAAUUCAUAUCAUCUUUAUGGGAUAUCUUGAGAACGGAGUGUGGGAGGAGAGAACCCUUCAAAUGAGCCUCUGAGAAUGAUGAUAAACCCUGCAUACUAAUAUUAAGCUAUGUAUAUCGGAGGGAGUGGGGUUCUGAACCUGGUUGAGUUGACAUGAAUAACCCUCCUUGGUCUAAUGAAAUUCAGCGGACUUAAACAAGUGAACGCUUUGCAAGGAAUUUUUUUUUAUCGGAAUCGGAGUAUAUCAUGUUAUAUCUUAUGAGUUUCAUCUUGAGCUCAAUAUUUGCUGCAUCCGAGGGCUUUUUGAAGCCCUGGGCUAGAGACUUAAAUAAUCAUGAAUGUUCUGUUUUGUUAAAUGUUUGGGCAACAAACAUUACAGAAAUUUAUUACGUUUGAACUUUUUAACCCUGGUUGCUCCAACUAUUAUAUCUUUUAUUAACCAUCCAUGUUUACACUGUUGAUGCUAACUGAGAAGAAUUUUACUUUAUUUUGAAACUGCCUCAAGUGAGAGUGGAAACUUAAAUGAUGCAUGGUCUCGUCAGCUAUUAUUGGUUGUAGCAACUUGGGUUCAGCUACAUCUCUCAACCUAUGACACAUCUGUUCGUCAGCUGAGCCAAUUUAUUUCGUGGUUGCACUGGUAUUGCACAUAAGUGACCUUUGUAAACCCUGCUGAGAGGAGAGAAGGGUAAUUUGUCUCUCUGACAUGUUGGAUCAUCGCAGGCUUAUCAAGUUUGGCCUGUUUCCUUGGGAUAUACUUAAACACGCUUGUAAGCGUGCGUAUUUCAUUUGUAUCUUUUUUAACUGGUUCUCUUUUCUUAAAUUUAGCAAAUAAAAUUGUUUCAACGUUA